rnacentral:rRNA from 1 species
UUAAGUUAUUAAGGGCGCACGGUGGAUGCCUUGGCACUAGAAGCCAAUGAAGGACGUUACUAACGACGAUAUGCUUUGGGGAGCUGUAAGUAAGCUUUGAUCCAGAGAUUUCCGAAUGGGGAAACCCAGCAUGAGUUAUGUCAUGUUAUCGAUAUGUGAAUACAUAGCAUAUCAGAAGGCACACCCGGAGAACUGAAACAUCUUAGUACCCGGAGGAAGAGAAAGAAAAUUCGAUUCCCUUAGUAGCGGCGAGCGAAACGGGAAGAGCCCAAACCAACAAGCUUGCUUGUUGGGGUUGUAGGACACUCUAUACGGAGUUACAAAGGACGACAUUAGACGAAUCAUCUGGAAAGAUGAAUCAAAGAAGGUAAUAAUCCUGUAGUCGAAAAUGUUGUCUCUCUUGAGUGGAUCCUGAGUACGACGGAGCACGUGAAAUUCCGUCGGAAUCUGGGAGGACCAUCUCCUAAGGCUAAAUACUCUCUAGUGACCGAUAGUGAACCAGUACCGUGAGGGAAAGGUGAAAAGCACCCCGGAAGGGGAGUGAAAUAGAACCUGAAACCGUGUGCUUACAAGUAGUCAGAGCCCGUUAAUGGGUGAUGGCGUGCCUUUUGUAGAAUGAACCGGCGAGUUACGAUUUGAUGCAAGGUUAAGCAGUAAAUGUGGAGCCGUAGCGAAAGCGAGUCUGAAUAGGGCGUUUAGUAUUUGGUCGUAGACCCGAAACCAGGUGAUCUACCCUUGGUCAGGUUGAAGUUCAGGUAACACUGAAUGGAGGACCGAACCGACUUACGUUAAAAAGUGAGCGGAUGAACUGAGGGUAGCGGAGAAAUUCCAAUCGAACCUGGAGAUAGCUGGUUCUCUCCGAAAUAGCUUUAGGGCUAGCCUCAAGUGAUGAUUAUUGGAGGUAGAGCACUGUUUGGACGAGGGGCCCCUCUCGGGUUACCGAAUUCAGACAAACUCCGAAUGCCAAUUAAUUUAACUUGGGAGUCAGAACAUGGGUGAUAAGGUCCGUGUUCGAAAGGGAAACAGCCCAGACCACCAGCUAAGGUCCCAAAAUAUAUGUUAAGUGGAAAAGGAUGUGGCGUUGCCCAGACAACUAGGAUGUUGGCUUAGAAGCAGCCAUCAUUUAAAGAGUGCGUAAUAGCUCACUAGUCGAGUGACACUGCGCCGAAAAUGUACCGGGGCUAAACAUAUUACCGAAGCUGUGGAUUGUCCUUUGGACAAUGGUAGGAGAGCGUUCUAAGGGCGUUGAAGCAUGAUCGUAAGGACAUGUGGAGCGCUUAGAAGUGAGAAUGCCGGUGUGAGUAGCGAAAGACGGGUGAGAAUCCCGUCCACCGAUUGACUAAGGUUUCCAGAGGAAGGCUCGUCCGCUCUGGGUUAGUCGGGUCCUAAGCUGAGGCCGACAGGCGUAGGCGAUGGAUAACAGGUUGAUAUUCCUGUACCACCUAUAAUCGUUUUAAUCGAUGGGGGGACGCAGUAGGAUAGGCGAAGCGUGCGAUUGGAUUGCACGUCUAAGCAGUAAGGCUGAGUAUUAGGCAAAUCCGGUACUCGUUAAGGCUGAGCUGUGAUGGGGAGAAGACAUUGUGUCUUCGAGUCGUUGAUUUCACACUGCCGAGAAAAGCCUCUAGAUAGAAAAUAGGUGCCCGUACCGCAAACCGACACAGGUAGUCAAGAUGAGAAUUCUAAGGUGAGCGAGCGAACUCUCGUUAAGGAACUCGGCAAAAUGACCCCGUAACUUCGGGAGAAGGGGUGCUCUUUAGGGUUAACGCCCAGAAGAGCCGCAGUGAAUAGGCCCAAGCGACUGUUUAUCAAAAACACAGGUCUCUGCUAAACCGUAAGGUGAUGUAUAGGGGCUGACGCCUGCCCGGUGCUGGAAGGUUAAGAGGAGUGGUUAGCUUCUGCGAAGCUACGAAUCGAAGCCCCAGUAAACGGCGGCCGUAACUAUAACGGUCCUAAGGUAGCGAAAUUCCUUGUCGGGUAAGUUCCGACCCGCACGAAAGGCGUAACGAUUUGGGCACUGUCUCAACGAGAGACUCGGUGAAAUCAUAGUACCUGUGAAGAUGCAGGUUACCCGCGACAGGACGGAAAGACCCCGUGGAGCUUUACUGUAGCCUGAUAUUGAAAUUCGGCACAGCUUGUACAGGAUAGGUAGGAGCCUUUGAAACGUGAGCGCUAGCUUACGUGGAGGCGCUGGUGGGAUACUACCCUAGCUGUGUUGGCUUUCUAACCCGCACCACUUAUCGUGGUGGGAGACAGUGUCAGGCGGGCAGUUUGACUGGGGCGGUCGCCUCCUAAAAGGUAACGGAGGCGCUCAAAGGUUCCCUCAGAAUGGUUGGAAAUCAUUCAUAGAGUGUAAAGGCAUAAGGGAGCUUGACUGCGAGACCUACAAGUCGAGCAGGGUCGAAAGACGGACUUAGUGAUCCGGUGGUUCCGCAUGGAAGGGCCAUCGCUCAACGGAUAAAAGCUACCCCGGGGAUAACAGGCUUAUCUCCCCCAAGAGUUCACAUCGACGGGGAGGUUUGGCACCUCGAUGUCGGCUCAUCGCAUCCUGGGGCUGUAGUCGGUCCCAAGGGUUGGGCUGUUCGCCCAUUAAAGCGGUACGCGAGCUGGGUUCAGAACGUCGUGAGACAGUUCGGUCCCUAUCCGUCGUGGGCGUAGGAAAUUUGAGAGGAGCUGUCCUUAGUACGAGAGGACCGGGAUGGACAUACCUCUGGUGUACCAGUUGUCGUGCCAACGGCAUAGCUGGGUAGCUAUGUGUGGACGGGAUAAGUGCUGAAAGCAUCUAAGCAUGAAGCCCCCCUCAAGAUGAGAUUUCCCAACUUCGGUUAUAAGAUCCCUCAAAGAUGAUGAGGUUAAUAGGUUCGAGGUGGAAGCAUGGUGACAUGUGGAGCUGACGAAUACUAAUCGAUCGAAGACUUAAUCAA